rnacentral:rRNA from 1 species
UCUUCCGUAGGGGAACCUGCGGAGGGAUCAUUACACAAAU